AGAGUUUGAUCCUGGCUCAGAGCGAACGCUGGCGGCAGGCUUAACACAUGCAAGUCGAGCGGGCACUUUCGGGUGUCAGCGGCAGACGGGUGAGUAACACGUGGGAACGUACCCUUCGGUUCGGAAUAACGCUGGGAAACUAGCGCUAAUACCGGAUACGCCCUUUUGGGGAAAGGUUUACUGCCGAAGGAUCGGCCCGCGUCUGAUUAGCUAGUUGGUGGGGUAACGGCCUACCAAGGCGACGAUCAGUAGCUGGUCUGAGAGGAUGAUCAGCCACACUGGGACUGAGACACGGCCCAGACUCCUACGGGAGGCAGCAGUGGGGAAUAUUGGACAAUGGGCGCAAGCCUGAUCCAGCCAUGCCGCGUGAGUGAUGAAGGCCUUAGGGUUGUAAAGCUCUUUUGUCCGGGACGAUAAUGACGGUACCGGAAGAAUAAGCCCCGGCUAACUUCGUGCCAGCAGCCGCGGUAAUACGAAGGGGGCUAGCGUUGCUCGGAAUCACUGGGCGUAAAGGGCGCGUAGGCGGCCAUUCAAGUCGGGGGUGAAAGCCUGUGGCUCAACCACAGAAUUGCCUUCGAUACUGUUUGGCUUGAGUUUGGUAGAGGUUGGUGGAACUGCGAGUGUAGAGGUGAAAUUCGUAGAUAUUCGCAAGAACACCAGUGGCGAAGGCGGCCAACUGGACCAAUACUGACGCUGAGGCGCGAAAGCGUGGGGAGCAAACAGGAUUAGAUACCCUAGUAGUCC
rnacentral:rRNA from 1 species